CACACACACACACACACACACACACACACACACCAGAGAUGGGGACUCAAGUCUGAGACUUGGACUCUAGUCACACUUAAGUUGCACAAACAGCUGACUUCAGACUUGACUUGCGACUCGACCCA